AUGACAUCAUAAUGUGUUAGUGUGAGCCCUAAAUCCAAUGCCUGCUAUCCUUAUAAAAGAGAGGACAUGGAGAGUCAGACACACACACAGACAGGGAAAAAGGCCACGUGGGGAUGACUGCAGAGAGUGAAGUGAUAUGUCUACAAGCCAAGGAACGCCAAAGACUACUAGCAACCACCACAAGCUAGGAAGAGGCAAAGGAUUCUCCUGUAAAGCCUUCAAAGGGAGCACGGCCCUGCUGCCACCUUAAUCCAGAAUUCCAGCCUCCAGAACUGAAACAAAAAAACCACAAACAGUAUCUACAGUCUUCACCUCUGACACCAAAAAGUCAACGACACAUACAUACUUCUGUGGCUGGCAGCCUGGGGAAGGGAGCAUUCUAUCUCCAAAAUCUUGAAUUGUUAUGCAUCUCCAGCUCUGUGUGUCCAUACACAUUCUCCCCAACUUCCACCACUUAUGCUCACACUCAGCCCACUUGAAGCAACCUUUUACCCCAAGCAGCAGCAGUUUCUGCCAACAAAUGAUACUGCAGCAGAAACUUUGUAAUUCAAGUUGCAGCUCUCCCACUUACUAAGUGUGACCUCAAGCAAG
rnacentral:lncRNA from 1 species